GAUGAACGCUGGCGGCGUGCCUAAAACAUGCAAGUCGAGCGAACAGAUGAGGAGCUUGCUCCUCUGACGUUAGCGGCGGACGGGUGAGUAACACGUGGAUAACCUACCUAUAAGACUGGGAUAACUUCGGGAAACCGGAGCUAAUACCGGAUAAUAUAUUGAACCGCAUGGUUCAAUAGUGAAAGACGGUUUUGCUGUCACUUAUAGAUGGAUCCGCGCCGCAUUAGCUAGUUGGUAAGGUAACGGCUUACCAAGGCAACGAUGCGUAGCCGACCUGAGAGGGUGAUCGGCCACACUGGAACUGAGACACGGUCCAGACUCCUACGGGAGGCAGCAGUAGGGAAUCUUCCGCAAUGGGCGAAAGCCUGACGGAGCAACGCCGCGUGAGUGAUGAAGGUCUUCGGAUCGUAAAACUCUGUUAUUAGGGAAGAACAAAUGUGUAAGUAACUAUGCACGUCUUGACGGUACCUAAUCAGAAAGCCACGGCUAACUACGUG
rnacentral:rRNA from 1 species